CUGAAGAUGAGACAAACCACUAAAAUUCAUAAAACUAAUUAAGUGCAAAAGAAAUUUAAAUUAUGUAUCCGGGGUUUAUACAAGACAAAAACAUAUGGGAAGCUGGAUUUCAGGACAAAAAAACCCCUUAAAUUCUCUGGAAAAUAGCCAAAAUUCUAGGGUCAACCUAUGAUUUUCAAAGGUUAUGAAAGUGGUGGGAUUUAAGUCAAGAUAGCUAAUGGUCAAAGAGGACUUGGUAAUAUCUGAGUUCCAGGUGGAAUGAAUGGAAAAUUGGCCAAAGAGGAAUCUGAAGGCCUAGGAAGGUGCAGGGUUCUAUGGGGCUCAAUAGCGGGGGAGGGGUGGUAGUCCAGUCUGCUCCUCUGACUGUUCCCUCCCUCAUUCUCAGGAACCCUUUGUGACAAGGUCACAGCUCUGUGAUGCAGGCCUGGGGUUCUGUCUUCAAGUAAAUUCCCAGUGCUCAGUUGCCUGAGGGCAGCAGUGCGAUUCCAAAGAUGGAGAAUUUCUUUUCUCUGAGAAGCACUGGUACCACCUGGCUGAGCUCCAGUCCCACCUCCUGGGUGAUUGAUACCAUCAUUGCUUUCCUGUGUGGACUUGGGCUGUUUCUUCUGUUGCUCCCCUGCUUUCAGAGUAAUCAGCCCUUACCACCAGCUAGGAAAUAUAUAAACACCAGGAAGCAUCAAGUGGAGCUGAGGAAGAGGAACAGGAGUAAGAAGAAAAGUGGAGCUUUGAAAGGUAAACGUAUGUCAUUAGCUCUGUGUGCCCUAAGUUUUCCUCCAUCUUUUGUGCCCCUGAUGAUCCAGAUCCACAGUCUCCAAGGAUGCCAGAGGCAGAGACCAUCCUUCAGGAAACAGAGCCCUCAGAGAGGCUCCUCAGAAGGAGAUCAGAUACUAUAUACUUCCUAGAUCCCAUGAUGGGAAAGAAGCUAUUAGAGG
rnacentral:lncRNA from 1 species